UGUAUCGUAGCUCAAUGGUAGAGCAUGUGGCUGUUAACCACAGGGUUGCUGGUUCGAGUCCAGCCGAUACAG
rnacentral:tRNA from 1 species